GACGAACGCUGGCGGCGCGCUUAACACAUGCAAGUCGAACGGAAAGGCCUGGCUUUUGUGGGGUGCUCGGGGUGCGAACGGGUGAGUAACAUGUGAGUAACGUGCCCUUGACUUUGGGAUAACUUCUGGAAACUGGGGCUAAUACCGGAUAUGAGCUCUUGCUGCAUGGGGGGGGUUGGAAAGUUUCGGCGGUUGGGGAUGGAGUCGGGGCUUAUCAGCGUGUCUGUGGGGUAGUGGCUUGCGUAGGCGUUGACGGGUAGCCGGCCUGAGAGGGUGGCCGGCCACAUUGGGCCUGGGCUACCGCCCAGACUCCUUCGGGAGGCAGCCGUGGGGAAUAUUGCCCUAUGGGCGGGAGCCUGAUGCAGCGACGCCGCGUGCGGGAUGACGGCCUUCGGGUUGUCAACCGCUUUCGCCUGUGACGAAGCGUGAGUGACGGUAAUGGGUAAAGAAGCACCGGCUAACUACGUG
rnacentral:rRNA from 1 species